UACAGAGGUCUCAAGCGUUGUUCGGAUUCAUUGGGCGUAAAGGGUGUGUAGGUGGCGCCGUAAGUCGGGUGUGAAAUUUCGGAGCUUAACUCCGAAACUGCAUUCGAUACUGCGGUGCUUGAGGACUGGAGAGGAGACUGGAAUUCAUGGUGUAGCAGUGAAAUGCGCAGAUAUCAGGAGGAACACCGGUGGCGAAGGCGGAUCUCUGGGCCUUACCUGACGCUCAGGUGCGAAAGCUAGGGGAGCGAACAGG
rnacentral:rRNA from 1 species